AUUGAACGCUGGCGGCAUGCCUUACACAUGCAAGUCGAACGGCAGCACGGGUGCUUGCACCUGGUGGCGAGUGGCGAACGGGUGAGUAAUACAUCGGAACAUGUCCUGUAGUGGGGGAUAGCCCGGCGAAAGCCGGAUUAAUACCGCAUACGAUCUACGGAUGAAAGCGGGGGACCUUCGGGCCUCGCGCUAUAGGGUUGGCCGAUGGCUGAUUAGCUAGUUGGUGGGGUAAAGGCCUACCAAGGCGACGAUCAGUAGCUGGUCUGAGAGGACGACCAGCCAGACUGGGACUGAGACACGGCACAGACUCCUACGGGAGGCAGCAGUGGGGAAUUUUGGACAAUGGGCGAGAGCCUGAUCCAGCAAUGCCGCGUGUGUGAAGAAGGCCUUCGGGUUGGAGAGCACUUUUGUCCGGAAAGAAAUCCUUGGCCCUAAUACGGUCGGGGGAUGACGGUACCGGAAGAAUAAGCACCGGCUAACUACGUG
rnacentral:rRNA from 1 species